rnacentral:lncRNA from 1 species
AUAGAGAAAAAACUUGCAAGGCAGGACCUCGGAGAUUCUGCUACAGCCGGAUGACUGUUACAAGUGAGUCUGGCUGUAAGCAUGAGUACUCUUACACUUGCUGCUAAAGUGCUCCAAUGCUUCAGCCUUUGGACAUCUGAUAGCCAUUCUUUCCUGCCCUGUACCAGUGAGUCCGAAAGCAUGUCAAAGUGCAAGUAGAUAAAUAGGUACCGCUCCAGCGGGAAGGUAAAUGGCGUUUCCAUGCUCUGCUCUGGUUCACCAGAAGCGGCUUAGUCAUGCUGGCCACAUGACCCGGAAGCUGUAUGCCGGCUCCCUCGGCCAAUAAAGCGAGAUGAGCUUUGCAACCCCAGAGUUGGCCACGACUGGACCUAAUGGUCAGGGGUCCCUUUACCUUUACUUUUUACCAGUGAGUCUACCUCUGAUUCUGCUGGACAUAGACUAUGCACUUGGGGCUGGGUAGAGUAUGGAUCAGAUGCUCUAAGCAGAUGUGAUAGACGCCAGUGGCUGAGCUGUAGUGCAUCCUCAGUAAGAAGAGUGCAGAGACAAGAGGCAACAUGGCGGCAGCAGCAGAGACGGUUGUACCGCAACUAUACUCCAGCUUUUCAGGAAUUGGUUAGCUGAGAUUCCUGCAUAACAGGGGGUUGGACUAGAUUAUCCUUUACGGUCCAUUCCAUCUCUACGAUUCUCUAGAAUUCUAUGAUUCUAGGUUCACUGCUCUAGAUAUACACAGGAUGAAAGAGUAAGAGUUUGGGUGGCAAUGUACUUCUGUUAUAGAAAUGUUAAAAUGAACCUUGCUAAAAACAUUUUCACCGUAAGAAAAUGUCACAUUUGUAAGUACCAAGCUCAUCUUUUCCAAAAUCCAUGGCAUAUAAAGAAUGGUGUCUUGCUUUGUUCCCUAGUAAGAGAAGCAACAGCAUGCUAGCCUUAUAUAUACAGCUGGAGGCUAAAUUCUGCUGUUAGUGGAGGCUACUUUAUGUUAUUAUAGUUCAGGCAAGUAGUAAAACCAUCUAUAUAAAGCACAACAUUCUACAGCUUAUGGCACCACUGAGCCUCUUGGGCUUGCUGAUCGGAAAGUCGGCGGUUCGAAUCCCCGUGACAGGAUGAGCUCCCGUUGGUCUGUCCCAGCUCCAGCCAACCUAGCAGUUUGAAAGCACACCAGUGCAAGUAGAUAAAUAGGUCCUGCUGUGGCGGGUAGGUAAACAGCAUUUCUCUGUGCUCUGGCUUCCAUCACGGUGUUCCGUUGCAGAAAAAGUGGUUUAGUCAUGCUGGCCACAUGACCUAGAAAGCUGUCUGCAAAUAAACGCUGGCUCUCUUGGCCUGAAAGCUAGAUGAGUGCCGCAACCCCGUAGUCACCUUUGACUGGACUUAACUGUCCAGGGCUCCUUUUACCUUACAGCUUAUAAAAGUGAAAUCCAUCAGGCUAAUAGCAUGAAACUUGCCAUACAAGUUUCCUUUAUAAUAAUAAAAUGGUGGUGGUGGUGGUGAUGGAAACCAUUUGCUUAUCAUGGAGCUUGGAUAUAUUUUUCUCUUUCUUACUAUCCCUUUCCAGAUGGUGCUGUGAUGCGAAUGGACCGGGGCUGCACCAAUGUAUGCCGUAGGGUGAAGUUUCAGGACAAGUUAUCCAGGGAAGAUAUGUGGUGUUGUAAGAAAGACCUUUGUAACCUUCACAAUUUGUGGACCUUUAGAUACUAAGGAUGAAUUUGUGAGAUCAGAGGAAUGUUUGCCUUACCUGAUCCUGUUAAUAAGGGUAUUUUCAUAUGAGCACUCCUCAAGUGUUGGAAAGAACCUCUCUGUUGAUGUCAUUCUCUUGCUCAUGCAGGGGUGGGGAAACUCAGGUCCAGGAAGCAAAUACAGCCCUUCAAGACUCUUUAUCCAGCCCUUGAGAUUCUUCCAGACAAUGGACCCCUUCUAACCCAG